CUCAGUUAGGUGAUUGGAUUGGCUGCCGGUGAAAAUGAUCGACAGGUGCCCCACCCUGUGACCCCGCCCAAAGUGAGCCGACCUGUGUGUGUGUAGUUGAGCCCCUGCGCGCGCCUGUAAGCAGAGACUGUUACCAAGGAGAACCAAAGCGGGAAGAGUCGCUUCGACGCCUGAAUUUAUAAUGGGUUGGCUUUGAGGAUAAGCUUCAUGACUGACUGUGAAGAAUCAACUAGGUAUUCCUCACCACCUCAGGACAAAAAGGUGGAUGAGUGUGAUGCUAGAGCAAAUACUGGAGCAGGACCUUUUACAAAUCUAGAAGAACCAGAGGCCGAACCAGAGGAACACUCUGUAACUGGUCUGUUAAACCCUGUAAACCACCAGUACUGCCAAGCUAUUCCAGAAAUCAGAGACAACACACCACCAUUUACAGGCUCCUGCUCAGGCCAGUAAGACAGAAUGGUACAUCUCAAAAAGAGUUGUGUGGGAUGCAGUUAUUGGGAGAUAUUUGCAGCCAUUGAAAGCCUAUCAAUGUAAG
rnacentral:lncRNA from 1 species